rnacentral:rRNA from 1 species
GUGUCAGCAGCCGCGGUAAUACGUAGGCAGCGAGCGUUGUUCGGAGUUACUGGGCGUAAAGCGUGCGUAGGCGGUGGUCCAAGUCUGGUGUGAAAUCUCCCGGCUCAACUGGGAGGGUGCGCCGGAAACUGGGCCGCUGGAGUAUGGGAGAGGCAAGCGGAAUUCCAGGUGUAGCGGUGAAAUGCGUAGAUAUCUGGAGGAACACCCGUGGUGCAGACGGCUUGCUGGACCAUGACUGACGCUGAGGCACGAAAGCGUGGGUAGCAAACAGGAUUAGAUACCCUGGUAGUCC